UGUAUAGGAAGCACACUGGAGAUUUCUAAUUUUUCAUUUUUUAGCAUACCAUAAACACAUCAAACUGGUUUACCUUCUGCACCUUUUCGUAGUGGUGGCCAUGAAAGAAAUUCAAACACCAAUGUGACACCGGUAUCACCCCAGGAAAAAAGUAUCUGAUCUAACUUUGGCAUUUCCACAGUUUAGAAGAAUUCUAUUAGGCCACUUCUAGUAAAGUAUGCUCUCCACACCACCUGAAAAGUACCAAAAGUACCAAUGUUAGCAUCAAAGAUAACCAAGUUGCAUGUCAGAAAUCUAGCCGUCUCUGAUUCCUAUUCAAGAUCACUUGCAUGAAACUAUUACUCUUUCAAAUGUUGCCUACAUUGUAUUUUUAAUAUGCUGUCUGAAAUAUUAGGAUGAAAAGAUGGAAUCCUAUUUUCAUGGAAAAUUCCAACUAAAACUUUCUUUCCUUCUUGGACAUCUAUUUAGUUAACAUUUUAGCUUUAGGUAAAUCCUUUUUCAAAUUCACCAAACUCCCACUUGAUAACUUUUUAUAUCUGCAUUUUGUCUAUUUUUACGUGAUCCAAGUAGUCGCAUUCCGUGAGUUUUUAUUAUCUGGGAAAGUUCUUUAAUGUAGAAUUACAAUUUUUUUAAAAUUAACGAAUUAGUUUGCACUCUGUACGUACUUAGCAAAUUGAAAAUUUUGUGACAUCGAUAUGGUUUUAAAAUGGGUCUCCUAAUUAGAGUACUUCUUAUUUUAUUUUUCAUUGUCCCUACCUAACACGGUGGGCCAACCAAUAUUGUUUCCAUCCACAAUUUCAAAAUAUUAUAAACUUUGGGCUUAACAAAAACAACUGCCAAAUCACAUAUACAUUCAUUCGUAACCUAUGGCAUGGAAUUGGUUGAGACCGCUGUUACAUUACGUAAAAAAUGAAGUAGCCUUGGAUUGAUAAAAAAAAUAAAAAAGCCCACUACACGAACAUCACAAUCUGAUGAAAUUGCAUAUGUCUAAUGACAUUAUGACCUUUAACCCUAAACCACCUGAUACCGCCAUCAAUUCUUCCUCCCACUGCCGUUGUCCCCGAACGAAGACAAUGAAGCAAUUCCAUUGUGGGGAUCCUUCACGGGCAGGAAUUCUGUUAUUUUACAUGCUACUAUUUAUGCAAGCUUUUAUUGCUACCUCCGUUGAGCUAAAGUUGCAGGCAUGGAGGCACCAAACCACAGACCGAUUCAGAUAUCUUCGGCAGAUCAAACGAAGGACUUUGGGGACAGUCCAACUCUAUCUUGUGACUCUGCAUAAAGGCAUCACUCGGGUCUCCAACAGCCAAUUCUCUGCAAUCGGAUGGCGAAUUUGCAGCCAAGAUUGCGUAGGAGACGCUCUCAUCGUUGGUUCGGAAAAUGGAUGGUAUCCAGGGUUAGAUUGGCAACCUAAAGAAGUUUAUCGAAACGCAAAAGUGUCUCAUGAUUGGAUAGUGUUGGCUUCUUUUAGAGUCUGUAUGGAAAGCAUUAAUGUGAGUAAGCUGCUUGUUCCUAACCCUCACUGUGCCGUCACACGUGGGGCACUGAGGACCCUUGAGCCCGGAAAGCCCAUCGUGGAUGAUGUUUUGAUACUGCUUGCCUCAAUGCUUACUUGAAGCUUGAGUAGAGUUCAAUGGUUCUUGUCAACAAUCCUCACGCAAAUUGCUAUUGGUCGCGGACAAAUACCAUGGACGACUAUGGAGGCUAUACACAAAGACUUCAUGGGGAUGGCUAACAUCGUGUGCAAGAUAUUCGCCCCAAUUUGGUCCGACAACCACUGGUUCCUGCUGGUCGUGGACAUUGUUAGAAAGGAGCUAGUGUAUCUGGAUUCCCUGAAAGCUGCUGCCUGAGUUAGGGUUAGAAGGAUUAGGCAGAUUAGGAAGUGGUACAAAAUGCCAUUUUCUUGGAAGAAAUUCUUGUUGACGAAUCAUGGUAUAAAAGCCCAACUGAUGAGAGGUUACUUAGAAGUGAGUAUAAACUUUAUGAGCCAAAGGUUGUCGAAUAAGACCAUCGAAGGUAUGAGAUAAGUCAAUGUCAGUUAUUCAUCACUAUCACGUAAUUAAUUUAUUUAAGUCGAUACACGAGUUCUUCAAGUUUGUUUUACACAUGAAUCCUAAAAUUGCAAUGUUACAACAAUUAUUGUGGAAUGUAUGUGGCUCAGUGGAUGAUAUUGUACCACUUGUAGAGCUCUUACGACGUUAUGGUAAGCGACGUUAUUGCAUAAACUGUUUUGUCCGGUACCAUACCACUGAACAAUGUAUUGAAAUUCAUUUGAAAUAUGCUCUAUAAAUGUAAUUGUGAUGCAGAAGAUGAGCUACUAUUGCAGGAUGAGGCUUGCCAUUGACAUGGUUCUUAAGUACCACAAUGAGAACCGCAUGGCUGUGAUAGAAUUGGCGAUAGAGUAUUGGAAGACCUUCAAAAGGGAUCCUCCGAUUAUGAAAUGAACCCUAAGUCGUCGACUUAACUCUUUUUGGGAGUAGCUAUGAUAAUAUAAGGCCGAACAAAUGGAUCCAUUUUGGUAGUACUUACUUUUGUAGUCCACCGCCUCCAACUGUGAUGGAUGAGCCCUCGCACACUAAGAUAUGAAGAUAUAACACGCUAAAUAUUUUGCCAAGGUUUAGAUCCCAUGCACAUGAAGGUUGACCAUUGAGGCCGCUGUUAAUAGGUAUCCUUGUCGAAAGACAUAAGAAGGCAGUAGCAUUUGUGAUUGUCACUGGAAAACGGAGCAGCGUCCCUUGCAUUUCCAGCAAGGUUGGGUGCAUAGUUCACUAUCCUACCCUCUUCCCUACAAUUCGAUUUCCUAGUGGAAAAAAUGACUAAUUAAUGUUCAGACUUGUGUUUUGUGACUUUAUUUCAGACUUAAUUCUAAUUGAACUCCUGCUUGAUGUAGAGUGCUAAACAAUUGUAGGCACAUUUUAUGUUUUCAUACUUGAUGCACUGAAGCUUAUUGAGUAAACUUUCUCGUUUAAGAAAAAUGCUAUUUUUACACUAUACAAGGGCUUC